rnacentral:rRNA from 1 species
AUUUGUGACAAUGCCACGUUGAAAGCACGACAUCUCGUCGGGUCUGUCAAGUUAAGCAACGUUUGGGCCUGGGUUAGUACUUGGAUCGGAGACGGCCUGGGAAUCCCAGGUGUUGUAGACA